GGGGGCAUAGCUCAGCGGUAGAGUGCUUGUGUAGCAUUUAGGAGGUCCUGGCUUCAAUCUCCAGUACAUCCA
rnacentral:tRNA from 1 species